rnacentral:rRNA from 1 species
GAUGAACGCUGGCGGCGUGCCUAAUACAUGCAAGUCGAGCGAACAGACCAGGAACUUUCUCCUCUGACGUUAGCGGCGGACGGGCGAGUAACUCGUGGAUAACCUACCUAUAAGACUCGGAUAGCUUCGGGAAACCGGAGCUACUACCGAAUAAUAUAUUUAGCCGCAUGGUUCCAUAGUGAAAGUCGGUUUUGCUGUCACUUAUAGAUGGAUCGGCGCCGCAUUAGAUAGUUGGUAAGGUAACGGCUUACCAAGGCAACGAUGCGUAGGCGACGUGAGAGGGGGAGCAGCUACACUGGAACUGAGACGCGGUCCAGACUACUACGGGAGGCAGCGGAAGGGAAUGUUCCGCUAGGGGCGGAAGCCGGACGGGGAAAAGCCGCGUGAGGGAUGAAGGUCUUCGGAUCGGAAAACUCUGUUAUUAGGGAGGAAGAAAUGUGUAAGUAACGAGGCACGUAUUGAAGGUACCGAAUCAGAAAGCCACGGCUAACUACGUG